rnacentral:rRNA from 1 species
UUUGAUCCUGGCUCAGAGUGAACGCUGGCGGUAGGCCUAACACAUGCAAGUCGAACGGCAGCACAGAGGAGCUUGCUCCUUGGGUGGCGAGUGGCGGACGGGUGAGGAAUACAUCGGAAUCUACUCUGUCGUGGGGGAUAACGUAGGGAAACUUACGCUAAUACCGCAUACGACCUACGGGUGAAAGCAGGGGAUCUUCGGACCUUGCGCGAUUGAAUGAGCCGAUGUCGGAUUAGCUAGUUGGCGGGGUAAAGGCCCACCAAGGCGACGAUCCGUAGCUGGUCUGAGAGGAUGAUCAGCCACACUGGAACUGAGACACGGUCCAGACUCCUACGGGAGGCAGCAGUGGGGAAUAUUGGACAAUGGGCGCAAGCCUGAUCCAGCCAUACCGCGUGGGUGAAGAAGGCCUUCGGGUUGUAAAGCCCUUUUGUUGGGAAAGAAAUCCAGCCGGCUAAUACCUGGUUGGGAUAACGGUACCCAAAGAAUAAGCACCGGCUAACUUCGUGCCAGCAGCCGCGGUAAUACGAAGGGUGCAAGCGUUACUCGGAAUUACUGGGCGUAAAGCGUGCGUAGGUGGUUAUUUAAGUCCGUUGUGAAAGCCCUGGGCUCAACCUGGGAACUGCAGUGGAUACUGGAUGACUAGAAUGUGGUAGAGGGUAGCGGAAUUCCUGGUGUAGCAGUGAAAUGCGUAGAGAUCAGGAGGAACAUCCAUGGCGAAGGCAGCUACCUGGACCAACAUUGACACUGAGGCACGAAAGCGCGGGGAGCAAACAGGAUUAGAUACCCUGGUAGUCCACGCCCUAAACGAUGCGAACUGGAUGUUGGGUGC